AGGGUGUUAGGAUAACCUCAGACCAAGGGCCUUCAAAGCCCUAAGCGGGAGUGGAAACCUCCCAGACCCUG
rnacentral:tRNA from 1 species